rnacentral:lncRNA from 1 species
AGGACGCGGGGCAGCCUGCCGCGCCACGCUCCAGUCCCGUCACUUGUGCUCGCGAGCGCCGGUGCGCGCAGGUGCGGGCGGGGUUGUGGGGACGCCGGGAGGGCGGCGCGGUACUUUCCAGAAGGUUCCGCACCGGAAGCGCCUGCCGAGGCCGGAGGCUGGGUGCAGGGGCGGAGACGCGGAGAACUUGGGAUCCUGGUUUAAGGGAGCUGGGAAGCUGCCGCAGGUUUGUUUAAACGAUAUUUUUUUGGUGGCGGAACACGAAGUAAAGUUUUCCGUCGGCGCAGUUCCUGCGUGUGCUGUUCAAGCGGCCUGAAGUGCGUUCAGGUUCGGCCGGGCUGUCCCUCCUCCUGGUCCCGACCCCUCAAACCCCGGGCCGAACACCGCCCUCUCCUGCGGGACAGUCUUUCUAUGGCCGGCGCGUUUCGCCUAGCAGGGUCCUCAGAGGGACCGCGUUAGAGCCUGGGUUUCCUUCCAGGGGGACCAGCGCUCCCUGGGUGGACCGACCCCACCGCUUACCCAUUGCUGGACGCCUGCGUGCACCGACCCCACCGCUUACCCAUUGCUGGACGCUUGCCCUGUUGCCAUCUCCUCGCUAGCGUGAACAGUGCUGCGUGCAGAUCUCUCUUUCAUUGAUUGUUUUGCGUCUGUACCCAGAAGUGGGAUUGCUGGACCAUCUCUGCCCAUUUUAAAAUUGGGAAAUGACAUGAUCUGAUUUAAGCUAUUUAAAAAUCACUUGGGCCUGGGCUCGGUGGCUCACGCGUGUAAUCACAACACUUUGGGAAGCCGAGACAGGCGGAUCACCUGAGGUCAGAAGUUUGAGACCAGCCUGGCCAACAUGGUGAAACCCGGUCUCUACUAAAAAUACAAAAAUUAGCCGGGCACGGUGGCUCCAGCCUGUAAUACCAGCUACUCAGGAGGCUGAGGCAGGAGAGUUGCUUGAACCCAGGAAGCGGAGGUUGCAGUGAGCUGAGAUUGCCUCACUGCACUCCAGCCUGGGCAACAGAGUGAAACAAUGUCUCAAAAAAAUAAAAAUAAAAAAACUGAAUGGUUCCACAGAAAUACUGAGACUUCUGCUUAAACAGGCUUUCUUGAACCUGUACGCUUCCAGUUGGGUCUGCUGCUUCCAGGUCAUUUACUAAAAAUGAUAGGAAGAUUUAAAAAAUAAAAAUAAAAGGAAGGCCGGGCGUGGUGGCUCACGCCUGUAAUCCCAGCACUUUGGGAGGCCUAGGUGAGCGGAUCACGAGGUCAGGAGCUCGAGACCAUCCUGGCUAACACGGUGAAAACCCGUCUCUACUAAUAAUACAAAAAAAAAAAAAAAAAAUAGGGCAUGGUGGCGGGUGCUUGUAGUCCCAGCUACUAGGGAGGCUGAGGCAGGAGAAUGCCGUGAACCCGGGAGGCGGAGCUUGCAGUGAGCCGAGAUCGCGCCACUGCACUCCAGACUGGGCGACAGAGCGAGACUCUGUCUCAAAAAAAUAAAGGAAAAUUGGGCCGGGCGCAGUGCCUCACGCCUGUAAUCCCAGCACUUUGGGAGGCUGAGGUGGGCGGAUCACGAGGUUAGGAGAUCAAGACCAGCCUGACCAACAUGGUGAAACCCCGUCUUUACUGAAAUACAAAAAAGCCUGGCGUGGUGGUGCGCGCCUGUAGUCCCUGCUACUCGAGAGCCUAAGGCCGGAUAAUCGCUUGAACCUGGGAGGCAGAGGUUGCAGUGAGCCAGGAUGGUGCCACUGCACUCCAGCCUGGGUGACAGAGACUCUGUCUCAAAAAAAAGAAAAUCAGCCAGGCUCAGUGGCUCAUGCCUGUAAUCCCAGCACUUUGGGAGGCCGAGGCGGGCAGAUCACCUGAGAUCAGGAGUUUGAGACCAGCCUGGCCAACAUGGUGAAACCCCAUCUCUACUAAAAAUACAAAAAUUAGCUGGUACAUACCUGUAAUCCCAGCUACCCAGGAGGCUGAGGCAGGAGAAUCGCUGGAAUCCAGGAGGCAGAAGCUGCAGUGAGCUGAGAUCACACUACUGCACUCCAGCCUGGGUGACAGAGCAAGACUCCAUCUCAAAAAAUAAAAUAAAAAACAAGGGAAAAUCCACAAGGACAUAGUUGAAUCCAUAAGAAGAAAUGACAGCAGAUAAAUCAGUUAACAAAAGUUCAAGAGCUGGAGAUCAGAUCUUUAUCGACCUGAGAAUAUGGAACACCAGUGCCUAUGUGGAAGGAAACCAGGAAGCAAGUUCAUUUAAUCCAGUGAGUCUGGAAGAGUCUGGGAGUUGGCAGCAUUAGCCUCCUGUCUGAGAGCUGUGGGGCUGAAAGCAGGAGCAUUUAGAGGAAAAGGUUGCCUUCCACAUUUCGUUUCUCCCCCACAUGUUCAGGGGAAUAGCUCACUUUCAUCACCGUGGAGCACUAGAGAAAGGCCAUUCCAGGGGACUUGAACAGGAGGGUUCUGGAUUUCAGGACACCAAGCAUAGCUCAGAUUGGGGAUGCAGUAAUAAAGAUGGGAUUAUACAGAGUUCACAUAAGGAAGAGUAGGACCUCUAACCCCUUUCCUCCAGAUAGCCACAAGAAUGUUGGCCACUAGGCUCAUUCCCUGCUCAGCUACCACCACCAUCCUUCCCCCAAUGCCCUGACAAGAACUAAAGGAUUCCUCUGUGUGGAAACUGACCAGCCCAGGAGAAAAUAUUUUUUUUUAAUGUAUUUUUUACGCCGGGCGCAGUGGCUCAUGCUCGAUAAUCCCAGCACUUUGAGAGGCCGAGACAGGCGGAUGGAUCACUUGAGGUCAGGAGUUCGAGACCAGCCUGGCCAACAUGGUGAAACCCCAUCUCUACUAAAAAUACAAAAAAUUAGCAGGGCAUAGUGGCACGCGCUGGUAAUCCCAGCUACUCAGGAGGCUGAGCCAGGAGAAUCACUUGGAAACGGGAGGCUGCAGUGAGCUGAGAUCAUGCCACCGCACUCCAGCCUGGGCAACAGAGUGAGACUCUGUCUCAAAAAAAAAAAAAAAAAAAAAGCCUGUUUUCUGAUGACUGUUAAGUGUGUGAAACUAAAAACUCCUGGUCUCUGCUCUCCCCUGUGUGCCUGACAGCACUCCGUAAAGGUGUGUUCAGCGAACUGACCGGAUGCGGGCUGUGGUAAGCCAUAUACAUGAUGUGAAAUCUUCUCCAGCAAAUUCUCUUGACCUUGCCGUGACACUCUGAUGCCCUAUGAUGAGGUGGUGAAGAUGGUGGCUCAAGACCUGGCUGACUGCCUCUGAAUCAGGACUGUCUCUUGCUAGCUGAGGCAUCUUGCAUCCCCCACAUGUGGAGUAGAGAAAACAAUGGCACCUCCCUCAGGGCUGCUGCAGCUCUCAGAAGAGUUCCGGCACAAAGCAGCCCUAAGCGGUGUCAGUACUGUCAUCUCUGGAUUCUAAUCUAGAAUCUGUUCUGAGAUCCAGGUUCUUAAUCCUCCAUCAUGGCAGGGGGUGGGACUCACUGGGAAGUGGCAAGUUAGAGGGAUAGUCAGAAUUGUCACCUUCUGCAUCAAUUGCAGGAGCAUCUGUUACUUUUGCAAAUGCCCUAAACUUCCUUUGGGAACGACCCCACCUUAAAUAUUCUGAACUGAAAGAGCAGUUCUUUGAAAACCCAAGGCAAGCAGGACUUGAGCAGGCAUUAGUGCCGCUGUCUUCACCGCCACAUCCUUCACGGCAUCCAGGAGCUGGAAACAGUCUAGCCACUGACGGACAGACGGACAGGCAAAAUGCAGUCCACGCACACGGCAAUGUUCAGCCUUUUAAGUUUUUAAUUUUUAUUUUAUUAUUUCUUAGUAGAGAGGGGGUUUCAUCAUGUUGGCCAGGCUGGUUUCAAACUCCUGACCUCAAGUAAUCCGCCUGCCUCGGCCUCAAAAAGUGCUAGGAUUACAGGCGUGAGCCGCUGCACCCAGCCCUAUUUUUAUUUUUUAUUUUAUUUAUUUAUUUUUUUGAGACAGAGUCUCACUCUGUUGCCCAGGCUGGGGUGCAGUGGCACGAUCUUGGCUCACUGCAACCUCUGCCUUCCCAGUUCAAGUGAUUUUCCUGCCUCAGCCUCCCAAGUAGCUGGGAUUACAGGCAUGCAUCACCACACCCAGCUAAUUUUUUUUUUUUUUUUUAAGACGGAGUCUUUCUCUGUCGCCAGGCUGGAAUGCAGUGGAGCGAUCUUGGCUCACUGCAACCUCUGCCUCCCAGGUUCAAGCGGUUCUCCUGCCUCAGCCUCCCGAGUAGCUGUGAUUACAGGCACGUGCCACCACGCCCUGCUAAUUUUUUUUUUUUUUUUUUUGAGACGGAGUCUCACUCUGUUGCCCAGCCUGGAGUGCAGUGGCACGAUCUCGGCUCACUGCAAGCUCUGCCUCCCAGGUUCACGCCAUUCUACCGCCUCAGCCUCCCAAGUAGCUGGGACUACAGGCGCCCGCCACCACGCCCGGCUAAUUUUUUGUAUUUUUUUUAGUAGAGACAGGGUUUCACCAUGUUAGCCAGGAUGGUCUCGAUCUCCUGACCUCGUGAUCCGCCCGCCUCGGCCUCCCAAAGUGCUGGGAUUACAGGCAUGAGCCACCGCGCCUUGCCCAUGCCCUGCUAAUUUUUAUAUUUUUAGUAGAGACAAGGUUUCACCAGGUUGGCCAGGAUGGCCUCGAUUUCUUGACCUCGUGAUCCACCAGCCUUGGCCUCCCAAAGUGCUGGGAUUACAGGCAUGAGCCGCUCUGCCCAGCCGCUAAUUUUUUAUAUUUUUGGUAGAGAUAGGGUUUCACUAUGUUGGCCAGGCUGGUCUUGAACUCCUGACCUCAAGUGAUCCAUCUGCCUCAAGUGAUCCCAGCCUCCCAAAGUGCUGGGAUUACAAGCGUGAGCCACCGAGCCUAGCCUAUUUUUAUUUUCUUUAAAGAAUCUUAAGGACAAUCAAAAGUCAGCCUUUAUUAAAAGGAAAGAGGGCCGGGAAUGUUGGCUCAAGCCUGUAAUCCCAGCACCUCCGGAGGCCAAGGCAGGCAAAUCAUGAGGUCAGGUGUUCGAGACCAGCCUAGCCAACAUGGCGAAACCCUUUCUCUACUAAAGAUACAAAAAAUUAGCCGGGCAUGGUGGUGCACACCUGUAAUCCCAGCUACUC